AGUGAACGCUGGCGGUAGGCCUAACACAUGCAAGUCGAACGGCAGAAAAGGGGAGCUCGCUCUCUGGGGGGAGAGGGGCGGACGGGUGAGGAAUACAUCGGAAUCUACUCUGGCGCGGGGGAUAACGUAGGGAAACUUACGCUAACAGAGCAUACGACCUACGGGUGAAAGCAGGGGACCGUCGGGCCUUGCGCGAUUGAAUGAGCCGAUGUCGGAUUAGCUAGUUGGCGGGGUAAAGGCCCACCAAGGCGACGAUCCGUAGCUGGACUGAGAGUAUGAUCCGCCCAACGGGAACGUAGACACCGGCCAGACUCCUCAGGGAGGCAGCAGGGGGUAAUAUUGAACACUGCGCGGGAGGCUGAUCCAGCGAUACCGCGUGGGUGCAGAAGGCCUUCGGGUUGUAAAGCCCUUUUGUUGGGAAAGAAAUCCAGCUGGCCAAUACCCGGUUGGGAUGACGGUACCCAAAGAAUAAGCACCGGCUAACUUCGUGCCCGCAGCCGCCGUAA
rnacentral:rRNA from 1 species